GGGACCGGAUAUAUGCUGGUGUGUAUUCAGGCUUGCCUGAUGGGAAGUUAGGAGCUGCCUGGGGAGGUUCGAUUCCUUCACGGUCCCGCCA
rnacentral:tRNA from 1 species